UGCGCAGGCGGUUCGUUUUGUGGGUGGUGAAAUCUCCUGGCUCAACUGGGAGGGGGCCAUCCAAACGGGCGAACUUGAGGCAUGGAGAGGGACGUGGAAUUCCGGGUGGAGCGGUGAAAUGCGUAGAGAUCCGGAGGAACACCGACGGCGAAGGCAGCGUCCUGGCCACGACCUGACGCUCAGGCACGAAAGCUGGGGGAGCAAACAGGAUUAGAUACCCUGGUAGUCCCAGCUGUAAACGAUGUCCACCAGGUGCUGGAGGUAUCGACCCCUUCGGUGCCGAAGCUAACGUGAUGAGUGGACCGCCUGGGGGAGUACGGCCGCAAGGUUAAA
rnacentral:rRNA from 1 species